rnacentral:lncRNA from 1 species
GUUGUGAAACGUAGUAUACAGUCUUUUAGCUGGGCAUAUUGCAAACUAGAAUAAAACUGGGAUGCUGUUUUACUAAGAAAGAAGGGGAGAAUAGAUAUCAGGUAGCAACUAGCAAUCUCUGCCACAAAUUCCAGUGAACAGAACAGCAAAACAAUGAGAAUGGCAACUACAUGAUUUACGAUGUGCGCCACACUAACCCAAGUCAGAAGAUGAACCAAAAACUCUGCAGCACCAGACGUUCUCUCAAGCCAAAAGUUUUAACUUUGGAAUACAAUUUAAUUUUUUAAUACAAAACACAAAUUCUUUCCUUCAAGACUUCACCAUUGACUUGGCAAUAACUCUUCUCAAAAUGUAGGUGGAACAGUCUAGGUCACAUUUGGCUCCACCUCGUUUGAAUAUUUUCUUAAUUUGUUGGGUGGUGUUUUUCAUCAUAAUUCCACAACAUAAGGAGGGAGUCCCACUGCCUGGGCAAUCAGAAGCGAAGUAUCUACAGAUCAGCCUUGAAUGAUCUUUUCCUAAAGAUAAGCUGUAAAUGUAGACUUUUUUCUUAAGUGAAGACAGAAAUGGGAAUUUUCUUAUGAAAUGUGACAGCUAAUUACCUUUUUAAAAACAAUGGGUGGGCCUCUAUUUGACCAAGACCUAAACUCCACUCCGGUCAGUGUCCAUUGUGUCCUGGCUUUCCUCACUUUUGUUGUCACAUGGAUGCAAUUCUUUCCACAGAACACCCUGCCUGCCCUGUCUCCCUGUUCUUUCUCCCUUUGCUUUUUUUCUUUUCCUUUCCUUCCUUCCUUCCUUUCAUGUAUCUAUCUGUCUAUCUUUACCAAAGGUAACUAAUUUUCCUUCUACUGACCUUGAUACCCUUUCCUCUUCUUACAGAUUCCUUUUGUGAAAUCCCCCUCUGAUCAAUACUUCCCUCUCAACAUCUAUUUUUAAUAUCCAACUAUAGAUUCUUUUUCAAAGUCCGCCUUACAUUUUCAAAUCCAUCUCAUUUCUUCCUCCCACCCCUUGACUCUUAGGAAGCUCUGAGCUCAAGAAAAUGCAUGCAAGCAUCUAUAAUGCCUUUUCUAAAUCUAUAGCAAGAGAUAAUAGGAAAUAGCAGGUAUUGUGACAAAUUCAAGAACCCAUCCCUCUUCCAAAGUAGAGCAAAUGCUACCAGCUUUUCUGACUUUUUUAAAGAUAAGCUAGAAACUCACAUUUUUUUUCUUAGGAGAAUAAAUAAAUCUAAAUUUUCAUAUGAAAUAUGACAGCAAAUUCACCUUUUUAAAAAUAGUGGGUGGGCCUAUAUUUGCAACCUUUGACCUACAGCACAUAUUGAAUGACUCCUAAUUGAUUCAACAUACGUAUCUUGUCACAACACCUGGAAGAAUGCUAAGCACAUUGUAGUCCUGCUUCUCUGGUUGAAAACAUACAAAUAUACAGAAAAGAAUUUGUUACAGGGAAUCAACGCAUACAAAUAUACAGAAAAGAAUUUGUUACAGGGAAUUGGCUUAUGCAAUUAUGAGGGCUGGUUAAGCAGCUUCUGUAAGGCGGUAUCUCUGAUGCGGAGUCCACGGGGAAGGAUGUCCGUAAGGGAAAGUCAGGAUGAGAAGAUCCAAG